rnacentral:rRNA from 1 species
AGAUGGAUUGGUGCCUUCGGGAACUCUGAGACAGGUGCUGCAUGGCUGUCGUCAGCUCGUGUUGUGAAAUGUUGGGUUAAGUCCCGCAACGAGCGCAACCCUUAUCCUUGUUUGCCAGCGAGUAAUGUCGGGAACUCCAGGGAGACUGCCGGUGAUAAACCGGAGGAAGGUGGGGACGACGUCAAGUCAUCAUGGCCCUUACGAGUAGGGCUACACACGUGCUACAAUGGCGCAUACAGAGGGCGGCCAACUUGCGAAAGUGAGCGAAUCCCAAAAAGUGCGUCGUAGUCCGGAUUGGAGUCUGCAACUCGACUCCAUGAAGUCGGAAUCGCUAGUAAUCGUGGAUCAGAAUGCCACGGUGAAUACGUUCCCGGGCCUUGUACACACCGCCCGUCACACCAUGGGAGUGGGCUGCAAAAGAAGUAGGUAGUUUAACCUUCGGGGGGACGCUUACCACUUUGUGGUUCAUGACUGGGGUGAAGUCGUAACAAGGUAGCGCUAGGGGAACCUGGCGCUGGAUCACCUCCUUAAACGAUGAU